UACGAAGGGGCUAGCGUUGUUCGGAAUUACUGGGCGUAAAGCGCACGUAGGCGGAUUGUUAAGUUAGGGGUGAAAUCCCAGGGCUCAACCCUGGAACUGCCUUUAAUACUGGCAAUCUCGAGUCCGAGAGAGGUGAGUGGAAUUCCGAGUGUAGAGGGUGAAAAUUCGUAGAUAUUCGGAGGAACACCAGUGGCGAAGGCGGCUCACUGGCUCGGUACUGACGCUGAGGUGCGAAAAGCGUGGGUAGCAAACGGGGG
rnacentral:rRNA from 1 species